AUAGCGUAUAUUAAAGUUGUUGCAGUUAAAAAGCUCGUAGUUGAACUUCAGACCUGGCCGGGCGGUCCGCCUAACGGUGUGUACUGUCUGGCUGGGCCUUACCUCUUGGUGAGCCGGCAUGCCCUUCACUGGGUGCGUCGGGGAACCAGGACCUUUACCUUGAGAAAAUUAGAGUGUUCAAAGCAGGCUUACGCCGGAAUACAUUAGCAUGGAAUAAUAAAAUAGGACGUGCGGUUCUAUUUUGUUGGUUUCUAGAGUCGCCGUAAUGAUUAAUAGGGAUAGUUGGGGGCAUUUGUAUUGCGUUGCUAGAGGUGAAAUUCUUGGAUUUACGCAAGACAAACUAUUG
rnacentral:rRNA from 1 species